rnacentral:rRNA from 1 species
UGAGGAAUUUUGCGCAAUGGGCGAAAGCCUGACGCAGCGACGCCGCGUGGGCGACGAAGCUCUUUGGAGUGUAAAGCCCUGUCAGGUGGGACGAACCGGCAGACGUCAACAGCGUCUGCUCUGACGGUACCACCAGAGGAAGCCCCGGCUAACUCCGUGCCAGCAGCCGCGGUAAUACGGAGGGGGCAAGCGUUGUUCGGAAUCACUGGGUGUAAAGGGUGCGUAGGCGGCUCGUUAAGUUCGAUGUGAAAGCCCUCGGCUCAACUGAGGAAUGGCAUUGGAAACUGACGGGCUAUGGAGUACCGGAGAGGGAAGCGGAAUUCCUGGUGUAGCGGUGAAAUGCGUAGAUACCAGGAGGAACACCGGUGGCGAAGGCGGCUUCCUGGCCGAGUACUGACGCUGAGGCACGAAAGCGUGGGGAGCGAACGG